CCUUGACAUACUAAGAACUUUCCAGAGAUGGAUUGGUGCCUUCGGGAACUUAGAUACAGGUGCUGCAUGGCUGUCGUCAGCUCGUGUCGUGAGAUGUUGGGUUAAGUCCCGNAACGAGCGCAACCCUUUUCCUUAUUUGCCAGCGGGUCAUGCCGGGAACUUUUAAGGAUACUGCCAGUGACAAACUGGAGGAAGGCGGGGACGACGUCAAGUCAUCAUGGCCCUUACGGCCAGGGCUACACACGUGCUACAAUGGUCGGUACAAAGGGUUGCUACCUCGCGAGAGGAUGCUAAUCUCAAAAAGCCGAUCGUAGUCCGGAUCGCAGUCUGCAACUCGACUGCGUGAAGUCGGAAUCGCUAGUAAUCGCGGAUCAGAAUGCCGCGGUGAAUACGUUCCCGGGCCUUGUACACACCGCCCGUCACACCAUGGGAGUUUGUUGCACCAGAAGUAGGUAGUCUAACCGCAAGGAGGACGCUUACCACGGUGUGGCCGAUGACUGGGGUGAAGUCGUAACAAGGUAGGCGUAGAUGA
rnacentral:rRNA from 1 species